GCUGGGUGUGGUGGCACACGCCUGUAAUCCCAUUGGCUCUGGAGGCUGAGGCAGGAGGAUCACUAGGAUCUGAGGCAGGAGGAUCAAAGCCAGCUUCAGCAAUGGCAAGGCACUAAGCAAUUCAGUGAGGCCCUGUCUCUA
rnacentral:sRNA from 1 species